rnacentral:misc_RNA from 1 species
UUUCCGUAGGUGAACCUGCGGAAGGAUCAUUAUUGAAUGAAACACUUCUGGCUUUAUGCUGUUGUGCUGGCCCUUUGGCCAAUGUGCACACGGCUCUGGUCACUUGUUUUUUCUGUUCCACCUGUGCACUGCCUGUAGACACGCUGUGUCUAUGAUAUUUGUUAACACACAACAAUGUUAGUUGGCAUGUUAUAUAUAAUAAUAAAAUAUACAACUUUCAACAACGGAUCUCUUGGCUCUC